rnacentral:rRNA from 1 species
UAAUACGUAGGGUGCAAGCGUUAAUCGGAAUUACUGGGCGUAAAGCGUGCGCAGGCGGUUUUGUAAGUCUGUCGUGAAAUCCCCGGGCUCAACCUGGGAAUUGCGAUGGAGACUGCAAGGCUAGAAUCUGGCAGAGGGGGGUAGAAUUCCACGUGUAGCAGUGAAAUGCGUAGAGAUGUGGAGGAACACCGAUGGCGAAGGCAGCCCCCUGGGUCAAGAUUGACGCUCAUGCACGAAAGCGUGGGGAGCAAACAGGAUUAGAUACCCUGGUAGUCCACGCCCUAAACGAUGUCUACUAGUUGUCGGGUUUUAAUUAACUUGGUAACGCAGCUAACGCGUGAAGUAGACCGCCUGGGGAGUACGGUCGCAAGAUU